rnacentral:rRNA from 1 species
GUAGGUGGCAAGCGUUGUCCGGAAUUAUUGGGCGUAAAGCGCGCGCAGGCGGUUCUUUAAGUCUGAUGUGAAAGCCCACGGCUCAACCGUGGAGGGUCAUUGGAAACUGGAGAACUUGAGUACAGAAGAGGAAAGCGGAAUUCCACGUGUAGCGGUGAAAUGCGUAGAGAUGUGGAGGAACACCAGUGGCGAAGGCGGCUUUCUGGUCUGUAACUGACGCUGAGGCGCGAAAGCGUGGGGAGCAAACAGGGAUUAGAUACCCUGGUAGUCCACGCCGUAAACGAUGAGUGCUAAGUGUAGGGGGUUUCCGCCCCCUUAGUGCUGCAGCUAACGCAUUAAGCACUCCGCCUGGGGAGUACGGCCGCAGGGCUG